rnacentral:lncRNA from 1 species
GUGUCUCUCUUCUAUGGAACUGUGGGGCUCACAUACAUCCCCCCUGCCUCUGCCACCUCUGUGAUACAAGAGAAGUACGUGGCUGUCAUACACACCACUGUGACUUCGGUGCUGAAUCCACUGAUAUACACCCUUAGGAAUAAGGAAGUGAAGUUGGCUCUGAGGAGAGUCUUUGGGAGGAAAUGGAAGCUGUCUGUCUAAAGAAAAUCACUGGCAACACCAGAGGAAAUGAGAACUGUGUGCUCUCUUGAUGACAUUUAUUUUCUCAUCUAGACUAACUUGGAUCCAUUUCUUGAAUUCUGUUUUCAUUUCAGAAAUUUGUGCCACGUGUAGGCGUGGUCUUCACACAUAUGAUUCCAAUUAUCCUUUAGUCGUUCACGCAGAGUAUUUUUUCAACAGGGAAUGUUCACUUUGCAGUGGAAACGAUCCCUACGUUUAUGACAUGAGGACAUGGAUCUUUUUUCAGCUGAGAAGCUGGGCAAAGAAAAGCUGAAGAAGUAACUGCGUGUCUCUUUCCGAAAGUAAAAUGCGUGGAGUAAAAGGCAGAAUCAGCAUGCCCUGGUGGGCACUCUUUUGCAGGGUUGGGUCAAUGAAAGCCUGUUUCAUAAACACCACUUGACAGAACGUGGAAGGAAAUAGUGGAGUGAGUCAUGCUGGUAUAUGACAGUUUAUCUUGAUGCAGAAAUGACAGUGAAUGGAGGAACAAUGGUGUAGAGUGUUGGUAUUUUACGUGAGGAAUACAGCGUGUCCCACGUGCCUGGAACUCAGUGGGUAGUGAAGAGAGGGGCAGGAGAUGAGGGCAGAAAAGUGAUGGUAGUCAGGUCUUGGCAUCCAGUUGGUCAGCUGAAGGUUCUCCGCACUUACUCUGGGUAAUGAGCCUGAUAACGGGGCCCUUGAGCAAGGAAGUGACUUCCUACAACUUCUGUGGUGAAAGAAUCACAGUGUUACUCUCUUGAGAACAGAGAGUAGAGGAACCAAGAUGGAAUUAGUUAGGAUCCCUUAUCAUCCUUUGGAUGAGAAUCGAGGGCAGCCUAGGCUAGGGUAAUGGUGGUGGUGACUGGAGGAGCAUCGAGAUUCUGGAUGUAUUUCGAACACUCAACUUUCAAUAUUUGCCGAUAGCUUCGAUGCGCAGUAGGAAGAUGAGAGGUAUCCCAGAUGAUGAUUAAUUUUCAAUGUCUAUGUUAGUGCCCAGAAAUGCCUGAAGUACAGUGAGAUUAGGCGAUGAACAGAGCAAGGUGUGAAGUAGGUUUUGAUUUGCUUUUCUCAUAAUAGAAAUGUUUUGACUUGAGUUCUCCUUCCUACUAAUUAAUCCUCUUUACGCAAAGUACAGUGUAUUUUGAAAACCUAAUCUUACAUACAAAGGCAGAUGCCAUUACUUUUGUGUGGAACCUGAAAUAUGACAUAAAUGAACUUAUCUGAAAAAGAACAUAUAUGUAUAUAUGUAUAACUGAAUCACUUUGUUGUAGAGCAGAAAUUAACACAACUUUGUAAAUCAACUGUACGUCAAUAAA